rnacentral:rRNA from 1 species
CAGCCGCCGCGGUAAUACGUAGGUGGCAAGCGUUGUCCGGAAUUAUUGGGCGUAAAGGGCUCGCAGGCGGUUUCUUAGGUCUGAUGUGAAAGCCCCCGGCUCAACCGGGGAGGGUCAUUGGAAACUGGGAAACUUGAGUGCAGAAGAGGAGAGUGGAAUUCCACGUGUAGCGGUGAAAUGCGUAGAGAUGUGGAGGAACACCAGUGGCGAGGGCGACUCUCUGGUCUGUAACUGACGCUGAGGAGCGAAAGCGUGGGGAGCGAACAGGAUUAGAUACCCCCGUAGUCCCUGUCUCUUAUAC